rnacentral:rRNA from 1 species
AGUGAACGCUGGCGGCGUGCCUAAUACAUGCAAGUCGAACGGAGUGGCGCACGGGUGAGUAAUAUAUAGCUAAUCUGCCCCUUGCUGGAGGACAACAGUUAGAAAUGACUGCUAAUACUCCAUAGCAAGGGAUGAGACUAUAUCGUAUCAGCUAGUCGGUGGGGUAACGGCCGACCGAGGCUAUGACGCGUAACUGGUCUGAGAGGAUGAUCAGUCACAUUGGAACUGAGACACGUUACAAAUUCCUACGGGAGUCAGCAGUAGGGAUGAUUGUGAAAUGGGUGAAUCACUGACAAUGCAAUGCCGGGUGGAGGAAGACAAUUUGCGGAGCUUAAACUCGUUUUGUUAGGGUAGCGGUAUCUAACGAAUAAGCACUGGCUAACUCCGUGCCAGCAGCCGCGGUAAUUC